UUUGGGAAAAAAGGGGUUUUGGGAAAACAUUGGCGUUUCUCGGACUCAUGGAAUCCAUCUGGCUUAUGGUAGACAAGUCUGUGUACACGCAUCUCUACAACGCAUUAAUUCAAUCUUUCCCGCAGAUCAAUUUUGUGGUGGAGGGCGCUAUUGCCAGCAUAUUAGUAUGGGGAUUGAUUUUAUUGAAACGAGACUCGGAGAGAUUGCGCGAUGGCAAUGCGUUGCGACCUUCAGGUAACGUUAUUGAUUAAUGCGUUAUGUACGAUGGAGAGAAAAAAACAACAAAUGAAAAAGACCUUCGUAGUGGAAGUUAUUGAUAAAAAGAAGAUCCUUACUCAUCUCCGACCAAUUCCUUAGUUAAUACACGAUUCAAGAAAACCCCAA